UCUCCUACGGGAGGCAGCAGUUAGGAAUCUUGCGCAAUGGGGGCAACCCUGACGCAGCGACACAGCGUGGAGGACGACGGUCUUCGGAUUGUAAACUCCUUUUAUAUGGGAAGAAUAGAUGACGGUACCAUAUGAAUAAGCACCUGCUAACUACGUGCCAGAAGCAUCGGUGAUACGUAGGGUGCGAACGUUAUCCGGAUUUAUUGGGCGUAUAGGGAUGCGUAGGCGUUUCUGUAAGUCUGAAGUUAAAGCCCACGGCUUAACCGUGGAAAAGCUUUGGAAACUGCAGAAAUUGAGACAGGAAGAGGCGAAUGGAAUUCCCAGUGGAGCGGUGAAAUGCGUUGAUAUUGGGAGGAACAUCAGUGGCGAAGGCGAUUCGCUGGUCCUUGUCUGACGCUGAGGCUCGAAAGCGUGGGUAGCAAAACGGAUUAGAUACCCGUGUAGUCCACGCCGUAAACUAUGGAUGCUAGGUGUUCGGUACAACCGUUUUUUCCUUCGGGAAAAGAUGGAAGUAUUGAGUGCCGCAGCUAACGCGUUAAGCAUCCCGCCUGGGAAGUACGGCCGCAAGGCUAAAACUCAAAUGAAUUGGCGGGGGACCCGCACAAGCAGAGGAGCGCGUGGUUUAAUUCGACGGCAAUCGAAGAACCUUACCAGGGUUUGAAAUGUAUCUGCAUGCCUUAUGAAAAUAGGGAGGCCUUCGAGGGUGAUACACAGGUGCUGCAUGGCCGCCGCCAGCUCGUGUCGUGAGAUGUAGGGUUAAGUCCCGAAACGAGCGCAACCCCUAUUCUAUGUUACAAGUGUCUUAGAAAACCGCCUCGGUAAAACGAGGAGGAAGGUGGGGAUGACGUCUGGUCCGCAUAGCCCUUAUGUCCUGGGCUACACACGCGCUACAAUGGCCGAUACAGUAGGAAGCCAAAUCGUAAGAUGGAGCUAAUCCUCAAAGUCGGUCUCAGUUCGGAUUGAGGUCUGAAAUUCGACCUCAUGAAGUUGGAUUUGCUAGUAAUCGUAGAUCAGCAAUGCUACGGUGAAUACGUUCUCGGGUCUUGCACACACCGCCCGUCAAGCCAUGGAAGUAGGUGAUACCCGAAGGUGUCCUGCGUUUACGCGGGAUGACGAAGGUAACGCUUAUAACUGGGGUUAAGUCGUAACAAGGUAACCGUA
rnacentral:rRNA from 1 species